rnacentral:misc_RNA from 1 species
GAUGAAGAACGUAGCGAAAUGCGAUAAGUAAUGUGAAUUGCAGAAUUCAGUGAAUCAUCGAAUCUUUGAACGCACCUUGCGCCUUUUGGUAUUCCGAAAGGCACACCUGUUUGAGCGUCAUGAAUACAUCAAUCUCCAUCUUUUCUUCGGAUUGAUGGGUGACUUGGAUGUUGAGCCCUGCUGGUAUGCUAUAUCAGCUGGCUUUAAACUUAUUAGCCGGCUCUGUACUGGAUCGGUUUGACUCGACGUGAUAAUAUUAUCGUUGAGGAUGCAUGUCUCAUGCAGCCGGAAAGUAUCAAAGCAGCUUCUAGCUUGCCUUUAGUGCACUUUUACAUUUUAGACCUCAGAUCAGGUGGGACUACCCGCUGAACUUAAGCAUAUCAAUAAGCGGAGGA